AGUGAACGCUGGCGGUAGGCCUAACACAUGCAAGUCGAACGGCAGCACAGUAAGAGCUUGCUCUUACGGGUGGCGAGUGGCGGACGGGUGAGGAAUACAUCGGAAUCUACUUUUUCGUGGGGGAUAACGUAGGGAAACUUACGCUAAUACCGCAUACGACCUACGGGUGAAAGCAUGGGAUCUUCGGACCUUGCGCGAUUGAAUGAGCCGAUGUCGGAUUAGCUAGUUGGCGGGGUAAAGGCCCACCAAGGCGACGAUCCGUAGCUGGUCUGAGAGGAUGAUCAGCCACACUGGAACUGAGACACGGCCCAGACUCCUACGGGAGGCAGCAGUGGGGAAUAUUGGACAAUGGGCGCAAGCCUGAUCCAGCCAUACCGCGUGGGUGAAGAAGGCCUUCGGGUUGUAAAGCCCUUUUGUUGGGAAAGAAAAGCAGCAGGUUAAUACCCCGCUGUUCUGACGGUACCAAAAGAAUAAGCACCGGCUAACUUCGUG
rnacentral:rRNA from 1 species